AUUGAACGCUGGCGGCAUGCCUUACACAUGCAAGUCGAACGGCAGCACGGGGGCAACCCUGGUGGCGAGUGGCGAACGGGUGAGUAACAUAUCGGAACAUACCCUAGAGUGGGGGAUAACGUAGCGAAAGUUACGCUAAUACCGCAUACGAUCUAAGGAUGAAAGUGGGGGAUCUUCGGACCUCAUGCUCAUGGAGUGGCCGAUAUCUGAUUAGCUAGUUGAUGAGGUAAAGGCUCACCAAGGCGACGAUCAGUAGCUGGUUUGAGAGAACGACCAGCCACACUGGAACUGAGACACGGUCCAGACUCCUACGGGAGGCAGCAGUGGGGGAAUUUUGGACAAUGGGGGCAACCCUGAUUCAGCAAUGCCGCGUGAGUGAAGAAGGCCUUCGGGUUGUAAAG
rnacentral:rRNA from 1 species